rnacentral:rRNA from 1 species
CGGGAUUAUUGGGGCGUAAGAGCUCGUAGGCGGUUUGUCGCGUCUGCCGUGAAAGUCCGGGGCUCAACUCCGGAUCUGCGGUGGGUACGGGCAGACUAGAGUGAUGUAGGGGAGACUGGAAUUCCUGGUGUAGCGGUGAAAUGCGCAGAUAUCAGGAGGAACACCGAUGGCGAAGGCAGGUCUCUGGGCAUUAACUGACGCUGAGGAGCGAAAGCAUGGGGAGCGAACAGGAUUAGAUACCCUGGUAGUCCAUGCCGUAAACGUUGGGCACUAGGUGUGGGGGACAUUCCACGUUUUCCGCGCCGUAACUAACGCAUUAAGUGCCCCGCCUGGGGAGUACGGCCGCAAGGCUAAAACUCAAAGGAAUUGACGGGGGCCCGCACAAGCGGCGGAGCAUGCGGAUUAAUUCCAUGCAACGCGAAGAACCUUACCUAGGCUUGACAUGGACCGG